rnacentral:rRNA from 1 species
CGAUGCCUAAGACAUGCAAGUCGAACGAGAAGGCCCAUUGAAGAUGGAGUGCUGCACAAGUUGGAUUGGAUCCUCUAGUGGCGCAAGGGUGAGUAACACGUGGGUAAUCUACCUUCGAGUCUGGAAUAACAGUUAGAAAUGAUUGCUAAUGCCGGAUGAUAUUGAGAACGAUACGUCAUUCUUUAUUAAAAGGGGCCUUUAAAGCCUCGCUUGAAGAUGAGCCUGCGCCGUAUUAGCUAGUUGGUGGGGUAAUGGCCUACCAAGGCAACGAUGCGUAGCCGACCUGAGAGGGUGAUCGGCCACACUGGGACUGAGACACGGCCCAGACUCCUACGGGAGACAGCAGUUAGGAAUAUUCGUCAAUGGGGGAAACCCUGAACGAGCAAUGCCGCGUGAAGGAUGACGGUCCUAUGGAUUGUAAACUUCUGUUGUUAGGGAAGAAAGACCUGUAUAGGAAAUGAUACAGGAGUGACGGUACCUUUCAAGAAAGCUCCGGCUAACUACGUGCCAGCAGCGGC